rnacentral:rRNA from 1 species
AGUCGAGCGAACAGACGAGGAGCUUGCUCCUCUAACGUUAGCGGCGGACGGGUGAGUAACACGUGGAUAACCUACCUAUAAGACUGGGAUAACUUCGGGAAACCGGAGCUAAUACCGGAUAAUAUAUUGAACCGCAUGGUUCAAUAGUGAAAGACGGUUUUGCUGUCACUUAUAGAUGGAUCCGCGCCGCAUUAGCUAGUUGGUAAGGUAACGGCUUACCAAGGCAACGAUGCGUAGCCGACCUGAGAGGGUGAUCGGCCACACUGGAACUGAGACACGGUCCAGACUCCUACGGGAGGCAGCAGUAGGGAAUCUUCCGCAAUGGGCGAAAGCCUGACGGAGCAACGCCGCGUGAGUGAUGAAGGUCUUCGGAUCGUAAAACUCUGUUAUUAGGGAAGAACAAAUGUGUAAGUAACUAUGCACGUCUUGACGGUACCUAAUCAGAAAGCCACGGCUAACUACGUGCCAGCAGCCGCGGUAAUACGUAGGUGGCAAGCGUUAUCCGGAAUUAUUGGGCGUAAAGCGCGCGUAGGCGGUUUUUUAAGUCUGAUGUGAAAGCCCACGGCUCAACCGUGGAGGGUCAUUGGAAACUGGAAAACUUGAGUGCAGAAGAGGAAAGUGGAAUUCCAUGUGUAGCGGUGAAAUGCGCAGAGAUAUGGAGGAACACCAGUGGCGAAGGCGACUUUCUGGUCUGUAACUGACGCUGAUGUGCGAA